rnacentral:rRNA from 1 species
AAUGAACGCUGGCGGCAGGCCUAACACAUGCAAGUCGAGCGCGCCCAUCGGGGUGAGUGGCGGACGGGUGAGUAACGUGUGGGAACGUGCCCUUUUCUACGGAAUAGCCUCGGGUAAUUGAGAGUAAUACCGUAUACGCCCUUUUGGGGAAAGAUCUAUCGGAAUAGGAUCGGCCCGCGUUGGUUUAGGUAGUUGGUAGGGUAAUGGCCUACCAAGCCGACGAUCCAUAGCUGGUUUGAGAGGAUGAUCAGCCACACUGGGACUGAGACACGGCCCAGACUCCUGCAGGAGGGAGCAGUGGGGAAUCUUAGACAAUGGGGGCGACCCUGAUGGAGCCAUGCCGCGUGAGUGCUGAAGGCCUUAGGGUUGUAAAGCACUUUCAGCUGGGAAGAUAAUGACGGUACCAGCAGAAGAAGCCCCGGCUAACUCCGUG